GUGUCCAGAAGUCUGUGGCUCUCUGGCUUUUUCACUUGGCUGGCUGCAGUUUCAUGGCUCUGACCUCAGAUCUCUAGCUGUCUCACUGUCAGAGUACCUUACUUCCCAGUUGCCUCUCCUCUGUCUUUUCUGACUGAGCCUUUUUAAGAACUACACUUUUUUUUUUGUCUGACCCUUUGCUCCUGACCUAAUGACCUCGGUGUUAUCCUAGAUGACCACUUCUCACCCAAGAUCCCAUAACAUUUCGAAGCUGGAUGAGAUGGUUCCCUGCUUGCUAAGAUGAGCUCCAGAACCCCGUGGAAACAAAUUUGAUGAUCACUGAUGAAAUGAAGGUGAUUCUGGAAAGUGCUCAGUCCACCCUAGUAUCUUCACCUGAGCAUUCUACUUUGUUGACUGGAUCCGGCUCAUCAAGGGCCAAGGAAGUCCUUCAGGCAGAAUGAGGAAGAUACAUAGAUGAACUAUCUGGAUAAGGAAAAGAGGAAGAACAUUUGAGACAAAUGAAUAGCUGGCAUGAAGUUUCCUCUUCUCCAGAACUAAGGGCUGCCACCUGUUCAGAGAACAAGUUUACUCUGGCUGGAAGUACAACACCUGGUCCCCUUUCCUUUAGGACCUGUCCUGGAAGACAUGUCUGCAGAGCUGAGUGAGGCUCCCUGCCCUGGCUGCUGUCCUGGCUUGCAGGAUCUGGGAACACAUACCCAGAAACAACUCCCCAUCCAUGUGCCCUGCCUUUCCUCACAUGCUUCCCAGAGAGCACAUACUUCAAGAAAACCAAAGAAAGAAAAAAUUGCCCUAAGAGUUCCGGAAUUGACCUCUGGCUACAAAGAGCACUGUGACUGGCUUACAAAGUUAUACGAUUCUCUGACGAAACUCUUUGUGACCCAGAGCAACUACUUAAGAGUCUGUUACAAGGUGCACAGUGUAUUCUCUCUGUGAGCUUACAUCUGUGGGCUCCACAAAGGGCAUGUGUGCCAAAAGUCUGGGUACGUGGUAGUUCCCAGUGACUGAAUCUUCGCCCAUUGGAGAAGUAAGGAACAGAGGAAAAGUCAGGCAAAUGGUCUAUGAGCUGGCUAGGUUUGUGUGCCCAUCAUCCUCUUGGCUGAAAGGCCAAAGGAAUGAGGGACAUGUCCCAAGAAGUAUGGCUGGAGCCAUGCCACAAAGUCAUACAGCCUCUUGGUGCACUGCUCUGUGCAUCUUCAAGACUCAGUCAGCAUUACAUUGACUGAUUCACUUGGUUUGUCCCCACCAAGACUCCCUAACACAGUGAAAGUGAGCACAUGCCUUCCCUAGACUGGCUUCAUUAUGGACUGGAGGCUUGACUUAGUAAUCACCUACAGCCCAAAUCUGCUCUGUUCUUGUUUACCAUGGCAGGACUUGUGGGACUCACUUGAUGGUCAUGAUUGUAGAUCGUGAUGCACAAUGCAGUGAUUGGCUCACAACAGCUCAGCCUUCUUGCCACAUGGGAACUUCCUUCAAUAUGACUUGGUGCUCAACCACAUUGUGGGACAACAGACGCCAGGCCUUUUCCCAAAGCACAGACUUGUCAGUCUCUCAGCCAUCUUUUGGUCUUCAAUAAGGAAAUACCAAUGGUACCUGGCUGUCUUGGAGGCUGACUGCAGCUGCCCCAUGUUUCCCUACUCUAAACUCAGACCAUUGUCAAGUCAAGAGCGCAGAUCAGAACCUUGUCUUCUACCAUGAGCCAGUACUGAAGUCAAUAUCCUGUCAGCAGUGUGGCCACAGAGAUUAGCCCCCAGCUGUCAGCCAAAGGUGUAACUCUGCUCAUUCCAGGAGCAUCCCUUGACUACAUGCCACCCAGGAAACCUGCAAGCUCCUCCCAGAGUAGGGUCUUGCAAAGAGCCUACUGGCUGCCAGCCCCAGGGUCAUCAUCAGGGCUUCAAAUCUAAUAUUUGUGAUCUUUCCAUCUGGGUCAAAGGGAAGUACCAUGUAUCCCUCUAUGGGAGCUUAAGAGGGGAGGAGAUGACAUCAUAUGGGGCUGGAGUAAGGAGGCUGUGGAGACAAUCACAAAUGACAGAGCUGCUGAAGCCUGGGUCAGACAAGGGGAGGAGGAUGAGAUGGCUCUGGGAUUCACUUUGCCCUACUGGGCACACCUUGUGGCUCCAUCUUGUCCCCAGGAGUAGAUUUAAAAGGCAGCAUCCUACAUUUUCUCUUUGGUAUAAGCUGGGCUUCCACUGGGGACAGGCUCUCUCCUCUUCAUGGCCCUGCACCCUCCAAGUCUGCUCUACAGGGAAAGUGUUGGCCCUGUUCCUGCUAGUUCAAGGCCCCUGCCCCUAGCCAGCGCAUGCAUCCCUUUUUCCUUAUCUUGGUGACUAGAAUUUCCCCUCAGACUGUCUUCCUUCUGGCUUUACCUUGCUUGAUGCUUUUCUCUCCCCUUCCCUCUUCUCUCUUUCAUUGUCCCACUUCCCUGGGGCUCCCCCUUUUCUCGUUGUCACUCUUCCUCCUCCUAUACAACUCAUCAGGGACACUGGUGGUAUGGAAGAGGGGACUAGCUGGUAAACACUCUGAACUCUGUGGGACACUCAUCUCUGUGUGAGUGUUCAGUCAUACACAUAGAACCUAGAGGGUUGGUCCUUCUUAAGGUGGGAGCCAUGCGGACCAUAUCUCUCUCCAGAACUUGAUGCUUGGGUCACAGUGAACUGAAGGAGGGUGGGGCUAUUAACUUAAACCUUGCUGUUAGAGGAGGGAGAAUAGGAGCUUGUGUCAUGUUUCUUGUUGGUGUGUGGUGGUUGACAGUCAUUUGGGCACACUGCCUUAAAAGUUCUAAACUGUGUUCCUCCUGUGGUUCUCAGUCCGUACCAGGUAGAGACCAGAUCCAAUGUUUAACAAGUAGAUAUGGGAGUCUGUUCUUCAGUACUUGAACGAAGAUGAAAAGUGCAGUCAGUGAUUGUGACAGAGACCAGACUAAUGUCAGCGCCAACCUAGCUCCACUGUAUCAUGGCUCACCCCCUUCUGAAUCCUUGUAUCUCAUACCAAACCCUCCUCCCUCCUUCACAGACUCUGGUCACGACUGCUGACUGUUUCUGGCUCAAGUUUCCCAGACAAGGGGGGAUGCUGUGGGACAGCUUAAAGGUUCACAUUCUAUAAAUGAAUGCAGUCUGCCAAUGGCAGGAUACAUUUAAAAAGCAAAGGUAAUACAACACAGAAGUAAAUCUUGGCAAGGCCAACUGGGUUUCCUGUGGGACUCAGUUUUUAUUUAUAUUUUGGUAGUCCCUCCCCCAGGGUGUGUGCAUCUUUUCUUUGGGGUAAGGAAGCAACAACAUAAACUGCGAAACAGGUGAAGAAUCAACCCCCAUACUCACUUCUACCUCCUCUUCAGUUGAUUUUUGAUUGUGGAUGUACCCCAGGGCUGGUUACUGCUCCUGAAAGGAUCAGGUGAUAGCAGGCAAACUGUCCCCUGUUCAGCCUGUCCGUGUUCCUUUCUUUUUCAACAACUUCUUGCAGUUUUCUAGAUGAGAUAGUGGUAGGAAGGGCAGGUUCACUCCUCCUCCUCCUCCUCCUCAUGGGGAGAGGGAGAUUAGCCCCAGCAGGUAUUGUGUAUGAAUGGAUUUUUGCAAGUUUCCAUAUUUGCUGAUAGAGGUACCUAUUAUUGAAUUGAUGGUAGAUUAUAUUGUAAGUAGCCACGAUAUCAUUAUGCCUUUUCUUCCCUACAGAUUCUAUAAUUUCUUGAAUCUUGUAGACAAAGUAAUAACAUAAUUAACAUUGUGUCCACAGUCUUGGUGACUAGGAUUUUCUGGAGGUUCAUGGUGAGGCUUCACCACAGUGAGACAGUCAUAGGUAUCUCAUUGGUGUCUUGUGUUUGAUGGUCACCUGGACCUAGGCUCUAUAAUCCAUAGGUAUGAAAUAAAAUUUUCUGAGAUUUUUGGUAGGUUUCAUAGACUCAUAUAUUUGUGGCUGUGACCAGCAGGUGCAGAUCUGAAGAGGUUGAAGUCUUGUAUGGUGUGGGCCCAGUGGCCAUAGUGUAAACCAGUGUGACUAUGGGAUCUACAUGUCUAUGGUAAGUUCCUGAUGGUCUCCAUCAUCUCUAGUGCUAAGUAAGAAAAUGUGCCAGUGACAAUGUCUAGCCAGAGGUGACUUUUAUGGCCACCAGGACUUCACGGAGUCUAUUGUUUCUGUCUACACUAAAGAGCACACUGUUGCUUUCGUGCCAUAUGGGCAAUGUUUCUUUCAUGGAGGUUCUGAACUGCAGGUGCCACUGUCUCUCCCCUCUACAUACAGCCACAUGCCUCUAUGAGGUUGACCAUGUCUCCCCCUGCCACAAAUUCCAUGAUCAAAUCUGUCAUUUUUUGACUUGUCAAAUGGCUGGAAGAUUUCACAGUGUUAGGGGUUAGGACUGCUCUCUCUUAAUACUUGAAGGCCUUGUCCAAGAUCUUCACAGCUACUCUGGUAUUGGUGGGUACAUGGAAUGCUGCUUAACCUUUGAAAAUAAGCAGCAGACCAGGGUCAUUAAGACAUAAUACAUUUUGAGGAUGUCCUCAUCAAAGGGGCUGUUUCGAAGCUCUUCCAUUAUCUUUGCUACCGUUACAGAUGGAAAAUGGUACCACUAUAAAAUGCUUUUAAAAAAUUAGAGCAAAUCUAAGAGGGAAGUUUAUGGCCACAAAUUUCCACCUCUUAAAAUCCCAGAUUCCUCAAACAACCUAAUGAUACUUUUCAAGUUUGUAGACAAACAAGAGCAACUGAAACCCCAAAGUGGCUGAUGACAAAGCAUAAGGAAGAUGAGAGCUGGGGUUGAGUAGGCACCAAAGUGACAAAGAACCAAAGAAACAGUUUAUUUGAAAUGAUCAAGAAAACUGACACCUCUACACUUGAUCUUAGCCAAAAGGCCGAGAAGCGAUGAAAACUGACACCUCUUGCUUAGCUCAACUAACAAUGAAAGGUACUAAUAAAGACAAUUGUUAUUGAAAUAAAUAAAAAUCCAGAGGACAAUUGGGUAAACUUAUAUUACAGAGAGAUGACUAUCCUGAAAGAAGGAUAUUUUAAAACACUUCAUGACAACAAUAUACAGAACACAAUUGAAAUAGAAAUAAGAAAUAAUCUAACAAAGGAUGGCUAGAGGCCAUCGAUGCACUGAUGAACUCCUCUGUUCACCACUGAAGAAGAAGGCCCAGUGCUCCAUCAAAUAGAAAUGGAAGGAAUGCUGCUAAACUGAAGACAGCAUUGCUGUUGUCCCAAAGCCUUAGACACAAGGCAAAGUGUAAGCCAGUUUCCUGGAUGAACAAACACGUGAAAACCCAUAAUGAGAGUACCAAGUUCAGCAGCACAUUGAAAAGCUAAUGCUUCAUGAUCAAGGGGAAUUCAGCAAGGAAUGCUAGAAAGUCCACACAAACUCAUGUCCAGGCAGGUUAAAAGGAAAACCCCUGUGCUCAGCCACCAAGAGCAGGAUGCUGUCAUUUUCUGGCACGUAGAUGGACAUUGGCUUAUUUGUACUAUGGCAUGGAUGGGUGGAUGAUGGAGCCUUAAUGUAAAGAGAAUUUUAGCCACAUGUUGGAAUCUGAUAAAAAUUCACAGGGUGGGGUUGGGGGGAGGGGAAAUGAUAAAAUUUGACAUAUGUGGGAGUGUCACAAAGUACCUCAUUUUUUAUAGCUAGUAACAUGUUUCACCACAGACUAGAUGAAACUGAAAAAUUACAGUGAAGGAAAAUAAACACACUUGCACAAAGCCCAAAGCAAAAGGAAUAAGGGCAUGAAUAAAAACAAAACAGAAACAAAAAGCACCAAGACCCAAAGCAACAAAGUAGGAAACUCAGUACACACAAAAAACGUCCCACAGAUCUGGGAAAUAUAAGGUUUUCAAAGACAAAGUUGGAACCCAAUGGCUAUCAACACAAACAUGAGCUUCAGAUAAAUCUAAGCUUAAGCCAGUGUCUGUCACUUUUUUUUGUGAUGUCACAAAAGAAUGAACCAAUAGUAGCAGGGAGCAACCCAAUGUGGUUUCAUUGACCCCCAAGGAUAGAAUUAGUUAUUUUCCUCCUGCCUGUGACCAAACUUGGUAAGAAGCAACUUAGAGGGUGGCUUUGCCUCAGGCUUUCAGAGAACAGGAAAGGGAUUGUUUGGGGAAGAGCUGGUGGUUUGGAGAGAGAUAUUUGAGGCAUUAUGGGUUUUUUUGGGAAGCCUUGAUUCUCUCCAUUGAUUUGAUUCUAACAGGUUCUGCCUCCCAUGCUUUUACUGGCUCUCAGCACUACCCGAUAGAGGCCAAGCAUUCGAUCACAUGAUAGGCUGUUAUUUUCACAUUCAACCCUUAAGGAGGACAUCUGCACCUUUAAUAAUUGCAGCAUAGGCAAUGGAGACAGACAAAAUCUGUGUUUUGCCCUGUGGAAUGCAAGAGGGGAUCAGCUCACUGGAGAGUGUGGUGUUGUGUAGGCUGCCUCAAUGACUUUCACUAAAAUUUCUUGGAAACUUAGGCUUGUACAGACUUCAUCUUUAUACUUGUGAAAUACUUUUUUUUCCUUAUAAUUCUCUCAUACAAUAUACCCUGACUAGU